GUUGUCGCUUAAAGUCGGAAUAGUGGGUCCCACAGUUCUCCAAUGGUCCAACCUUAAUUUGGUCUUUCUUCCUCCCCAAGAAGUUUUACUUCUACCUGAGUGAUUCUCUCUUAAAUUCUCUAUUUCAAGCUUCGGCUAUAAGUUCUCAAAUUAAUAAUUGAACUUCUGCUUCACGCAUUUAGCUUUUUAAUAAUUUUUUUCACAGUUAAAACCCUACUUCUCAUCACCAAUUCACUAACUUAUUUUCCCUCUGUUACACUACAACAAUGGGAGAGGACGCAGAUAAUGGAGACGGCAAUAGAAAGCCGGUUUCGACAAUCGGUUCAUCAGUAAUUCCAAUAAUACACAAACUUCAGGACAUUAUAUCACCAAUUAGCGACGAAUUAACUAAACUGUCACUGCCGAAGGUGGCUGUGAUAGGCAGCCAAAGCAGCGGCAAGUCUAGUGUACUCGAAGCUCUUGUCGGCCGCGACUUCCUUCCACGUGGCUGUGAUAUUUGUACUCGCAGACCGCUUGUUUUGAUGCUUGAGAACUCUUUAAAAACUCCUGAUGAUAGCAUCGCUGAGUUCGGCGAGUUUCGUCAUUUACCUGGAAAACGUUUCUAUGAUUUCUCCAAAAUCCGUGACGAGAUUCAGGCUGAGACUGAAAGAGAAGCAGGAAAUAACAAAGGAGUUUCGGAUAAACAAAUCAGGUUAAAGAUUUAUUCUCCAAAUGUACUUAAUAUGACACUCGUGGAUUUACCUGGAAUUACUAAGGUUCCUGUAGGAGAUCAACCUACUGAUAUAGAAGCAAGAAUUAGGAAGAUGAUAGCAGCUCAUAUUAGUCAAGAAAACUGUAUUAUAUUAGCAGUUACUCCGGCUAAUUCAGAUUUAGCUACUUCUGAUGCUCUUCAGAUGGCUAGAGAAGCUGAUCCUAAUGGUUCUCGGACAAUUGGAGUAAUCACAAAGCUUGAUAUAAUGGACAGAGGAACUGAUGCAUGUAAUUUUCUUCUUGGAAAAGUUGUCCCACUACGUCUCGGUUAUAUUGGUGUUGUGAAUCGCAGCCAAGAGGAUAUUAACUACAACCGGAGUAUUCGAGAUGCACUUGCACGGGAAGAGCGAUUCUUCAGUGUCCAUCCUGUGUAUAAUGUUCUCUCUGAUCGAUGCGGAAUACCCCAGUUAGCAAAGAAGCUGAAUCAGAUCCUGGAGCAGCAUAUUAGAAUGGUUCUUCCACAUUUGAAGGCUGAGCUGAACUUACGUAUGACUACUGUGUUUAACGAGCUAAGCACGUACGGUGAAGUCAUGGAGUCAAAAGCAGACCAAGGAGUGAUUCUAUUGAACAUCCUCAAAAGAUACUGUGAAGCUUUUACUGCAAUGGUGGAUGGAAAAGGUCAGGAGAUGUCAACUAAAGAGCUGUGUGGGGGAGCCAGGAUCCACUACAUUUUUCAGUCAAUUUUUGUAAAGAGCUUGGAGGAAGUGGAUCCUUGUGAAGGUUUAACUGAUGAUGAUAUUCGGACGGCAAUUCAGAAUUCUACUGGUCCCAGAAAUGCUCUUUUUGUGCCAGAGGUUCCAUUUGAAGUUCUGGUGAGAAGACAAAUAGCGCAAUUGUUAGACCCUAGCCUCCAGUGUCUUAUAUUUGUAUAUGAUGAACUAAUGAAGAUGAGCCAAUCUUGUCAAGCAACUGAGUUUCGGAGAUAUCCAUAUCUGAAAAGGCGCUUAGAUGAAGUGAUGCGGAAGUUUUUUCGCAGUGGUGAAAGACCAGCUGAGAGUAUGAUAAGAAACAUUAUUGAGAUGGAGAUGGAUUAUAUAAAUUCUUCCCAUCCAAAUUUUAUAGGUGGGAACAGAGCUGUUGAACUAGCCAUGCAGCAAGUGAAAUCAAUACAGGAUAAUAUUGGUGUUGAAAAGUUAUCAACCCCUGAGAAAGGAAAGGGAUCCCGGGCUGUUCUUGCUAGGUCGGUUGCUAAUGGCGUUACACAUAAUCAGCAGGGAAGUCAUCUCCAGUCAAAUAACGAGAAAGCACCAGCAGGCCGUAAUUCAUCUACAAGGGGCUGGGGUAUUUCAUCGAUAUUUGGAAGCAUGGCAUCGUCUGGAAUGAAUUCAAUCAGCAGAUCUCUUGAUGAAACUUUCCAUGAUACAGAGCAUUCAUCCUCCACAAUCCAAUUAAGAGAGCCUCCAUCCAUCCUGAGGCCACCAGAACUGACAGAGCAAGGAGCAGUGGAAAUAAUUGUAACCAAAUUGCUUUUGCGGUCUUACUACGAUAUUGUCCGAAAGAACAUUCAAGACCUAGUUCCAAAAGCCAUUAUGCACUUUUUGGUCAAUUAUACAAAGAGGGAACUGCAUAACACCUUCAUACAGAAACUGUACAGAGCUUUUGCAGGAGCAGGAUGAGGUGAUCGCAAAAAGAAAACAUGCAAGAGAAGUUUUCCAUGUUUUGCAACAAGCAGUACAGACACUUGAUGAGGUUGAAUCUGAUGUAUCAUCUCGAUGUUCAUAUUCAAGUGUGGAUACCGGCUCUA